CUUCCAGUUCCAUUUUCUUAUACUCAUCCUCAAGAAAGAUAUGUGCAAACAGGACAGACAAAAGCAAGAUGCAGUCUUCUCUUUGGGCAUAAGUAAGCAAAUUUUAUUGCCCAGAGAGUUUCCAAACUAGGGGUGAAAGAAUUGUCAAGAACCAAUCUCAGACUCUGUAGGAUGCUAAAACCUGAGUGCACUCUGCCAGCUGGGCUCAAACAGAGUGAUCUGAAGGCUCGUGCAGCAGCUGCCCCGUGGGUCACCCCAGAGGAGGCUGAGCAGGAGCCACACAAGGCUGCUCCCUUGCCUGGGCCCUUCAUGACUUGCCAGCCCAUGGCCACCCAUUUCCCCAUGGUGGUGACUGGGUGCCUGGCUUCUCUGUGCUCCCUGGGGAUGAGCAGGGACCCCUACCCUAGGGAAAGGGAGAGGAGACUUAGGGAACCAUUUUGGUGAAAAUAAAACCCCUCUUUGUUUCUAAAUUUGAAGGGAAAAUAUGUUACUUUAUCCUCUUCUUUGAGGUGAACCGAUUGAACUGCUGAGUGGUCUUGAGCUGUCUCUUAUCACAUGCCUCUCCCUGCUGGCUGUUUUGCCUCUUCCUUCAAGAUCAGGAACCAAGUUGCUUCUCCAAAACACUUCUGUCUGUUAGUGAUAGUCCCAUAUGUAUUCACACCUGAAGAUUUCAGUGUUUUCUGAAGACUGCAAUGCAUACCAACAUGAUAUUUACAGCUGCUUGAGACUCUCCACUGGCUGUGGGCAGAAGCAGAGGUUGCAGGACUUCCUCCAUCAAAAUGCUAAUGGGCCAGCAUCAGAGCUGGGACUCCAGGGAAAGAACUGGGCUGUUCAUCUGUGCACCUCCAUCCAUAAUAUCACACAGGAGGCAAUGUCAGCUGGAAGCUAAAAAAUGAAGAGAAAGUCUGCUCUGUUUUCUCAGGAUAACACAGAAGUUGAACUUCAUUGCUCACACCUUGCCUGUUCUCACAGGGGAAGCAAAGGCUUUACAGUGAUCCAGAUACAAGAGGAAAUGCUGAACAGCAAAAUGCAGACAUUUGUGACAUAAAGUUAGAAAAAGUGACCUACAGGUAGAUGUGCUGAACCCUUACACCUUUUACAUGCAAUGUUCACCCCCAAGACAGAUGAUGUCAAUCAAGUCCUGUGCUGUUAUAUGCUUACAGAAAGGUGAGCGCAGGAAAAACAUUUGAAUUUAGAGAAAAAAAUACAUAAAUCAAGAUGGGAAAUAAAGUCCAAUUUGGUGAUGAGGGCUUGCCAGAUUAAGUUCCUACAAAACAAGAAGCAGCAACACCUGCAUUCAGAGUCACAGUGAAAGAGUGGCUUCCUGGGCUAAUAUGAAAUCUUCAGGAGCUCAAUAACCAUGGAAACCUCAGUGAAAGGAAUGCAACUUCAAUAAAAUUCAGAAAAGAGAAGAAGAAAUGGUAAUUGGAGAACUGUCAGAGGCAAAAGUACAUGUAUUUCCUUCCCCAGAGAUUCUUGUAAUACAAACAGGUUUUAUUUUUAAACAAAAAUAUUCUUACUGGCAUCUAUAGGAAACUAUUUGGUGCAAAGGCUUUGUAAUAUCUUUUCUACAGUUGUCACUUAUCUGCAUUUAUGAAGGCCUUGGUUUUAGAAACUUUUGGACAAAUUAACUCUCAGUUUUCACUUAUAAGUAAUAAGAAAUAAUCUGUCAUCCUCACUUCUCUCAAUAGCUUCAAAACCAAUAAAAGCCAACUAAAAUAA